rnacentral:tRNA from 1 species
GGCCGCUUAACUCAGCGGUAGAGUGUCUCGUUUACAUCGAGAAAGUCGCAGGUUCGAAUCCUGCAGCGGCCA